rnacentral:rRNA from 1 species
UUUCAGAGGGGGACAACAGUUGGAAACGACUGCUAAUACCGCAUGAUACGUUUUGGGGCAUCCCUGAGACGUCAAAGAUUUAUCGCUGAAAGAUGGCCUCGCGUCUGAUUAGCUAGUUGGUGAGGUAACGGCCCACCAAGGCGACGAUCAGUAGCCGGACUGAGAGGUUGACCGGCCACAUUGGGACUGAGAUACGGCCCAGACUCCUACGGGAGGCAGCAGUGGGGAAUAUUGGGCAAUGGGCGCAAGCCUGACCCAGCAACGCCGCGUGAAGGAAGAAGGCUUUCGGGUUGUAAACUUCUUUUAAGAGGGAAGAGCAGAAGACUGUACCUCUAGAAUAAGCCACGGCUAACUACGUGCCAGCAGCCGCGGUAAUACGUAGGUGGCAAGCGUUGUCCGGAUUUACUGGGUGUAAAGGGCGUGCAGCCGGGAAUGCAAGUCAGAUGUGAAAUCCAUGGGCUUAACCCAUGAACUGCAUUUGAAACUGUAUUUCUUGAGUACUGGAGAGGCAAUCGGAAUUCCUAGUGUAGCGGUGAAAUGCGUAGAUAUUAGGAGGAACACCAGUGGCGAAGGCGGAUUGCUGGACAGCAACUGACGGUGAGGCGCGAAAGUGUGGGGAGCAAACAGGAUUAGAUACCCUGGUAGUCCACACUGUAAACGAUGAAUACUAGGUGUGCGGGGACUGACCCCCUGCGUGCCGCAGUUAACACAAUAAGUAUUCCACCUGGGGAGUACGAUCGCAAGGUUGCAACUCAAAGGAAUUGACGG